rnacentral:lncRNA from 11 species
GUUUUUUUACUCUUGUUAGAUAAAAAUUCAGCUCGAUGGAAAUAGGUCGGGAACUAUCCAUAUAUGCAGGACCACUUUUCCCCUUGAAUCAGCUUACUUUAAUGGCUUCAAAUGAGUUCAAAUUGCAAAAACAGUUUUACACAGUUAACUCAGCAGAGGGAAGCGAAGAGAAGAAGAAGGAAAAGUCUUGUCCUUACAGAAGAAAAAGCAAACUACUCCAGCCUCUCCUUGCUUGUGUGUUCUACUCGAUGAAUAACCUUUGUCACCUUGGAGAAGAGAAGAAGAAGGAAAAGUCUUGUCCUUACAGAAGAAAAAGCAAACUACUCCAGCCUCUCCUUGCUUGUGUGUUCUACUCGAUGAAUAACCUUUGUCACCUUGACCCCACUUUAAUGUCGCUUGGUCACACGUGUCCAGAUUUUCACCCAUGAAAUGUUGGAAGGUAUGCGAGAGACCUACAUUCUCUGCCUGUCACAAACAGCUGAUUUCUAGAUGUGUUGGAUUGCAACUACAGCAAAGAUGAUGUGGUCUGCAAUCCUUCAUAUACUAGAGUCUUCAUCUUAGGGAAGGCUGCUGUGUUACCGUCUUCUACCUCUUAGAAUUAGUAUUAGAAUACAGUCCUCUCUAAAAGACAUCUGGUUUCAACAGUUCCUGGGAGAGAUUCUGCUUGUAAUGCUGUGUAAAUAAUAUACAUGGCAGGGUGAGAAUACUGGCCAGCAGGUUUUCAACUUCUUUGAAAUUAUAUUAAUGUUUUAGAUUCUACUUUGCCUGGAUAAUCACAAGAACAAAUUUUGUUUUAAUUACAAAGCCCAGAUCCAAGAAAGCCCCUUUAGCAGUAUCAAAGGACUAUUCAUCUGGGAGAAAUGUUUUUCACAGAAAACCAGCAUUAUUAUAGAAAUUAUAUCCUUCAGCACGACAACAUCCUCCACUCAGUUGUUGCAGUGUGAUCAUGUUAUCACAUGUAGAAGCAGCCUGCUUGCUUGGAUGUCUGCUUUUUGAUGAUAAGUAUUAUCUGUUGUAUGGCAGAGUUUUCUGUCAGCACAUGUUUUUUUCUUUGCAGCUUCCCAAAUAUACUUCCAGAUCUUAACUUUGGCCUUUAUCAUCUGAAGAUAAUUGCUCCACCAAACUUGCUGAAAUUAAUCUAGUGAAAGAAUUGAAAGCAACAUCUGCAGCCAGAGAGACACCAGCAUGGAGAAGAUCUGUAGUGAACUGGAAGAAAAUAGGGCAAUUCUAGCAGGAAAUGUUUCCUCGCUGUCUUGGCAAAUAAAAUCCACACUGUUUAAGGUACAAAUAUAAACCUCUUAAGGCCUGACAAAACUACAACGCAUGAGAAUAAUACUCAGCCUCAUAAAGGUUUAUGCCUGCCUGCUUUCCCUUACAUCCUGAUAGACUUUGCUGCAACGGCAAUUUACUGAGCCAGUUUCAAGGAUUUGGGUUCAGAAGGAUUAUCUUUUACUCCAAACCUGUGUAGCAGAAUUUGGAGGGCAGAGAAAUGAUUGGACCGAUUUGAUUAAAUAGAUCAGAAAAGCAAUCUAGAACUUGACUACCCUGCUCACCCAAAUAUAUAGCUACAAAGUGGCAUUCAGAUGUAGGAAUGAGGCAGAGAUAAGAAGCCCUUAGAUAGUAGGAGAGAGGCAAACCAUGCUCUUUUGACCUUUGUGCAACCAAACUGGGGAAGAUCAUGAAAAAGUAUGAGAUCUACAGACUAUUUCCAUCCAAUGAAAACCAAAUCAAACCAAGAGACUGAACACUGGGUAAGACAUACCCAGCAUGCUCUCCAGGAAAAUCCCUUAUUUCUAUUUCUUUUUUACAGUGAUGAAUGCAGAACAUCCUCAGCACAGAUGCAACAUGGCAUCACAUGUCCACAGCAAUGAGCUAGAAUGGCAUGGCAACAUGAUGGCAGAAUGGUAGCUGCUAUAUUCUAAAGCAAGGCUUCUUAAACUUUUCCCACUCACUACGUCUUUCCACACAAUAAACGUUUAUGCCACCCCGGGUACAUAGGUAUAUACAAUAGGUAUAAAAACAUA